AAUAUUACUAACAUCCAAUACCUAUUAGCUACUAUUUAAUACCUUUGUAUAGAUAUUUUCUACCUAAUUAAUAAAUAAGAAAAUUUAUUUAAAAAAUGGCCAGUCAUUCUGAUGUCUGAAUGACCACCCACAUUUAGAAUCUCCACAAAAAAUGUCCGUAUACACAACAGGACCCUUCGUCUGAUUCGAUCGACAACCAGAGUUUCACUUUCGUAAUAUUUAGUACCUUCCGAGUAGUGUAAGAAAAAUAAUAGUACCUUUACAGUUAAACAAAAAACUUGAAUUAAUUUCCAGCAGGACCCUCCGUGGUUUGAAGGUCUUCAGACCAUUGGUGUAUAUCCCUGUAUAGCGGUGCAUUAGUACCUUCAGAUUAUCUUCGUUUUCUUUUAAAACAAAUAUUAGUUUAUAAGAAAUAAAUCUACAAAAUUUUUAUACUGCCAGCAGGACCCUUUUUUGUUUUGGUGCUUUCAGUCCAGACAUUCAUAUUUCCUAGCAGCAGUAUAUUAGUACUUUUCAAAAAAAUAUCGCUUAAUUAAAAAAAAAUGUAUUAAAAAGUAAUAAGACUGAUUCUUUAUCAGAGAAAAUAUUCUAACACUUUUAUUUAUGUGAUGCAACCAAUGAAAUAAAAAACAGUUUUCAUGUUAUAUUAGGUAGGUACGUAGUUUGAUAUCGUCAAAAAGGAAAACACAAUGAAAAUUAUAACAAAAAAUAAAUUAUAUUUACAAAAAUUUACAUUAGGAAUUA